AGUGAACGCUGGCGGCAGGCCUAACACAUGCAAGUCGAACGGCAGCACAGUAAGAGUUUGCUCUUACGGGUGGCGAGUGGCGGACGGGUGAGGAAUACAUCGGAACCUACUUUUUCGUGGGGGAUAACGUAGGGAAACUUACGCUAAUACCGCAUAUGACCUACGGGUGAAAGCAGGGGAUCUUCGGACCUUGCGCGAUUGAAUGAGCCGAUGUCGGAUUAGCUAGUUGGCGGGGUAAAGGCCCACCAAGGCGACGAUCCGUAGCUGGUCUGAGAGGAUGAUCAGCCACACUGGAACUGAGACACGGUCCAGACUCCUACGGGAGGCAGCAGUGGGGAAUAUUGGACAAUGGGCGCAAGCCUGAUCCAGCCAUACCGCGUGGGUGAAGAAGGCCUUCGGGUUGUAAAGCCCUUUUGUUGGGAAAGAAAAGCAGCAGGUUAAUACCCCGCUGUUCUGACGGUACCCAAAGAAUAAGCACCGGCUAACUUCGUG
rnacentral:rRNA from 1 species